UACGUAGGGGGCAAGCGUUGUCCGGAUUUAUUGGGCGUAAAGAGCGUGUAGGCGGCUUGGUAGGUCCGCUGUGAAAACUCGAGGCUCAACCUCGAGAUGUCGGCGGAAACCACUUGGCUAGAGUCCGGAAGAGGAGAGUGGAAUUCCCGGUGUAGCGGUGAAAUGCGUAGAGAUCGGGAGGAACAUCCGUGGCGAAGGCGGUUCUCUGGGCAUUACCUGACGCUGAGGAGCGAAAGUGUGGGGAGCGAACAGG
rnacentral:rRNA from 1 species